GAGGAAGCCAAGACAAAGGCCAGCGACUGGACGUGGAGUGUUGUGUGUGAGAGACACCAGGAAGACCAUAGAGGCAGCCCUUCCAAAUAUUUGACUACAAGGUGGAGUGAAUGAGGGUAAGGAAAGAAGCAAGCAUUUAUUAAGCACUUACUACAUGCCAGACUCUAUGAUUUAUCAGGCUGAGACAAAAAGAAGAUAGACUUGUGGCUAAUCAGAGGAUUCUCUAUCAGAUAACUAUUGCUCCAGGUGAUUUGAUAGUCAGAACUGGCUGCUGUCAUAAAUGAAGAUAUAUCAUAAAUGACACAGAGAGUGCAAGACAAGUGAUUUGAGAAGAUUGCUGUGGAAUUCCUGCUUCUUUUCAUCAUGGUUCGGAAAAUAAUUUCCUUCACCUCUGAGGUUCUUCUAAGCACAAAGUAAUUGAUAUAAAUAUGAAUCGUGAGACCAGAGGACUGAGGGAUACGUGGGGAUGGUUACUGUUUGCUUUGGCCUCUUUGCCAAAUGAAUCCUUUAACAAAUCCACUUCCUACCUUCCUCCAACAAAACCCUAUUCCAAUUCCUUUGCUUUUUUUUUCAAUCCCUUUUCUCAAUGUGGAGGUGACCCUGUGGUUGCAAAGGUCACAGCCACACAUGGUUUGCUCUUACUCAUGCCCCAAGGAUUAUGGAGGAGAAUCUUAGUUGUCUUAUAGAAGACUUUGGUCUCAGGUUCUGGGAACUUUAUUAGGAAACUCCCCUGGAAACUUGUUCCUUCCUUAUACUCCCGUAUGCCAAAUGGGGGAAGUACUAAGUCCUGCCACAGGACACAAGACACAAGAAAAGGGAGGACUCAUGGACUCACAUCUUCCUUGGCUGACUUGAUACCGGUCAGCACAAUUCAAAAGCAAUGAAAGAUAUACUUGUUUCAGGGGUAUCUCCUGGGGACAUAGAUAACUACACCUUUACCCAGAUCUGACUCCUGGUGAAUGACCUAAACUAGUUAACAGUCUCAAUCUUUUAGCUCCCCUCAAUUUCUAUUGAAAAUUGGUAAGAGCUGAUUCCUUAAAUGCCCCAGGCAAUGCUGCUUCUAUACCCUAAUAGGACCUGCUGAAGGAAUACCAGAUUUGAUUACUAGCUUAAUGCACCUUUUUUCCUGUGUUUGUCAUUCCUAGGACGGUAGGUAGAGUUGGAAGGGACCUCAGGGGCUAUACUGGCGAAAGGGACAUGGCUAGGGUAGUUUCUAAUCAAUUUUCUUGGUAGUUAGGUGCUGACCUCAGAAUCAGAAAGAACUGAGUUCAAAUCCCUCCCUUAGACAUUUACUAGGUGAAUAACCCUGAACAAGUUACUUACCUUCUGUCAGAUUCAGUUUCCUUAUUCUUGUGUUUAAAAUCUACAAAACUCCAACUUACCUUUCCAGACUUAUUUCACACUUACUUCUCCUCUUCAAGCAGCCUAUAUUUCAGUUAGACUUCACUUUGAGUUGUUCCGUGAUCUAGCCAUCCCAUCCCUUUUCUCCUGCUUUUGCUCAAACCCUGCUUCUCCUAUUCCUGUAACAAACUGCUUCCUUAUCCCUGACUUUUAGCAUCUCAACCCUGGUGACACCUAUCUUGGGAUCCCUCCACAAUUGACUUCAUUAUUAAUAUACUGUCCAUCCUCAAAUUGCCUUGUAUAAUCUAUUGAUCCAUGUGCAUGUCAUAUCUCCCUCCACCCAAAAGUGUAUGUUCCAUGAAGGGAGGGGUUAUUUUUUUAUUGUUUUUGUAUCCUCAGUGCUUAACAUAGUUCUUU